AUUGAACGCUGGCGGCAGGCUUAACACAUGCAAGUCGAGCGCGCGGCGGACGGGUGAUUAAUGUCUGGGACACUGCCUGCUUGAGGGGGAUCACUACUGGAAACGGUCGCUAAUACCGAAUACCAUCCGAUGUGCCCAGAUGGGAGUGGCUGGUAGGUGGGGUAAUGUCUCACCUAGGCGACGCUCCCUAGCUGGUCUGAGAGGAUGACCAGCCACACUGUGACUGAGCCACGGUCCAUACGCCUACUCGAGGCAGCAGUGGGGAAUAUUGCACAAUGGGCUCAAGCCUGAUACAGCCAUGCCGCGUGUUUGAAGAAGGCCUUCGGUUUGUAAAGCACUUUCAGCGAGGAGGCGUUACUCGCAGAAGAAGCACCGGCUAACUCCGUGCCAGCAGCCGCGGUAAUAC
rnacentral:rRNA from 1 species